GACGAACGCUGGCGGCGUGCUUAACACAUGCAAGUCGAACGCUGAAGCCCAGCUUGCUGGGUGGAUGAGUGACGAACGGGUGAGUAACACGUGAGUAACCUGCCCUCUUCUUUGGGAUAACGCCCGGAAACGGGUGCUAAUACUGGAUAUUCACUGGCCUUCGCAUGGGGGUUGGUGGAAAGGUUUUUUCUGGUGGGGGAUGGGCUCGCGGCCUAUCAGCUUGUUGGUGGGGUGAUGGCCUACCAAGGCUUUGACGGGUAGCCGGCCUGAGAGGGUGACCGGUCACAUUGGGACUGAGAUACGGCCCAGACUCCUACGGGAGGCAGCAGUGGGGAAUAUUGCACAAUGGGCGAAAGCCUGAUGCAGCGACGCCGCGUGAGGGAUGACGGCCUUCGGGUUGUAAACCUCUUUCGCUCAUGGUCAAGCCGCAACUUAGGGUUGUGGUGAGGGUAGUGGGUAAAGAAGCGCCGGCUAACUACGUGCCAGCAGCCGCGGUAAUACGUAGGGCGCGAGCGUUGUCCGGAAUUAUUGGGCGUAAAGGGCUUGUAGGCGGUUGGUCGCGUCUGCCGUGAAAUCCUCUGGCUUAACUGGGGGCGUGCGGUGGGUACGGGCUGACUUGAGUGCGGUAGGGGAGACUGGAACUCCUGGUGUAGCGGUGGAAUGCGCAGAUAUCAGGAAGAACACCGGUGGCGAAGGCGGGUCUCUGGGCCGUUACUGACGCUGAGGAGCGAAAGCGUGGGGAGCGAACAGG
rnacentral:rRNA from 1 species